CGUGGGUAACCUGCCCAAGAGACUGGGAUAACACCUGGAAACAGAUGCUAAUACCGGAUAACAACACUAGACGCAUGUCUAGAGUUUAAAAGAUGGUCCUGCUAUCACUCUUGGAUGGACCUGCGGUGCAUUAGCUAGUUGGUAAGGUAACGGCUUACCAAGGCAAUGAUGCAUAGCCGAGUUGAGAGACUGAUCGGCCACAUUGGGACUGAGACACGGCCCAAACUCCUACGGGAGGCAGCAG
rnacentral:rRNA from 1 species